rnacentral:tRNA from 1 species
AUGUAAGAAAUAAUUUAUUAUAUUUAGUUUCGACCUAAAACCUAGAUCUCUGAUCCUUACAUU